UACGGAGGAUCCAAGCGUUAUCCGGAUUUAUUGGGUUUAAAGGGUGCGUAGGCGGAUUGAUAAGUUAGAGGUGAAAUGUCCGAGCUUAACUCGGGAACUGCCUCUAAUACUGUUGAUCUAGAGAGUAGAUGCGGUAGGCGGAAUGUAUGGUGUAGUGGUGAAAUGCUUAGAGAUCAUACAGAACACCGAUUGCGAAGGCAGCUUACCAAUCUAUAUCUGACGUUGAGGCACGAAAGCGUGGGGAGCAAACAGG
rnacentral:rRNA from 1 species